GCCCCUAUAGCUCAGGGGAUAGAGCACCGCCCUCCGGAGGCGGGGGCGCAGGUUCGAUUCCUGCUAGGGGCAC
rnacentral:tRNA from 1 species